rnacentral:rRNA from 1 species
AUGAAAGAGUAUGCAGAUGCUGCUAAAUUUGGUGGUCAGAAUGGAUGGACCAAAGAAGGAUGGAAAAGCAUGGCUACACGCUUGAACAAUCAGUUUUCGAGAGCUAAUUUUAUUGUUGAUCAACUAAAAUUUAGGGAGCAGCGGUUGAAGAAAGAAUAUUUUAUUGUCAAAUCUAUUGUAGAGAAGAGUGGCUUCGGUUUUGAUCCUAAUACAAAAAUGCCAACAACCAUUGAUGAAAAAUGGGAUGAAUUGAGCAAAGAACAAUAGAAGUGGAGAUACAAAGCCUUCCCUUACUAUGAUGACUUGCAUGCAAUUUAUGAUGGUGAAACAGCGGAGGGGAAGGGUUGUAAGAGGACAACUGAUGUUCUAGAUGACGCUGGGCUUAAUUCGCCUAGUCCAACAUUACCGGCUCCAGGCUUUGAAGGUCAUAAUUACGAGUGGACCGAAGGCAUAUACAGUGAGGAUGUUGAAGUAUUUCCUGUUAACAACACAUAACGUAUGGAGAAUAACAGUAGCCAAAUUCCCACAGAACACAUGAACACAUUUCCUGACCCAUCACCUAUGAAAAAGGCUAGGACUUCUAAAGGCAAUGAUGAAGGUAAGGCUAAGAGAGGCAAAGAAACAGCGGUUGAAGAUCUGGUUGCUGUUAGAAAAGAAGAACUUAAAACUUAUGUGGAUGUAAAGACGAAACAAAUUGAGAGCUAUAGAGAAGUGAAAACGGCUUUUACGACUUGUAGGAGGACUAGCUAA